AAAAAUAACGGCCGUUAUCUUUUAGUGCUGUCGACCGCUACUUAACCAGCAGCACGGAACGCCGACCGAAAGGAACGAUGGCUUCCUCUCCCCCUUCGUGCGGUGCCGCCCCUUGCACUCUAUUCUUCCAAUGCAAGCCUUAGGUAUCGGCGCCAGGCUCUCGCUCUUCCCUCUCGUGAGGUUCCUCCUCACCUUCUUUUGCUUCGAGCGCGCCAUCAACCCCAUCGAUUCGUGGAAGUUCAAGGUCGCCCUCCUUGUCUUCCUUCGCUCCCCUUCUUUCUCCCACUCCCUCCCACCUAGGACUCCUCGUCCGGCGCCGCUGCUCCGACCUCGACGAGCGCAAGCGCGACGACCCCGUGGUGUCCGGGACUCUCUAUGUGGGCGAUCUACGGCUCCUCAGGAACAAGGGGGCAUCGAGAAUGAGGUUCUUGGACUGGAACGGAUAUGAACCUCGCGGCGUCAAGUUCAAGAUGAGCGUGGAGAUCCUCCGAUGAUUUCGAGAAGAUGAAGAAAUCAUGGGUGGAUUAUUGUGCUCCGCAGUUGCUGAAUUGCUGAAGACGAGUUGCCAAGCGACCAGAUACUGCUCGGGGUGUUUCUUCGUGAUGGUUCACCGAGCCAUGAGCUUCAUCGAAUGUCUCAAUGUUGGUCACGCGUACCAUUUUUUCCACAAUGGGUAAGAUAAGGAAUGAUGGGACUGCAUCAAUCUAGGAGCUAAGCUGGUAGAGCCCGAGGAUACAACAUGCAGGCUUAAAUAGUCUCAGCAUGAAGUAUAAGGCAAGAUCGACCGGACAAGACUCGCAGAUCCUGAGCUUCAUUUCAUUUACAAAGUAAUUGACCA